rnacentral:rRNA from 1 species
AAUAGAUACCCCGGUAGUCCACGCCGUAAACGAUGGAUGCUAGCUGUUAUGCGUAUCGACCCGUGUAGUAGCGAAGCUAACGCGUUAAGCAUCCCGCCUGGGGAGUACGAACGCAAGUUUAAAACUCAAAGGAAUUGACGGGGACCCGCACAAGCGGUGGAGCGUGUUCUUUAAUUCGAGGCUAAGCGAAGAACCUUACCAGGGCUUGACAUCCUUGGAAUUUCUCCGAAAGGAGAGAGUACUUUAUUGGACCAAGUGACAGGUGCUGCAUGGCCGUCGUCAGCUCGUGUCGUGAGAUGUUUGGUUAAGUCCAUUAACGAGCGCAACCCUUAUGAAUAGUUGUAUUUUUCUAUUCAGACUGCCCCGGUAACGGGGAGAAGGGGGGAUGAUGUCAGGUCAGUAUUGCCCUUACGCCCUGGGCUAGAAACGCGCUACAAUGGCCGGUACAAUGCGCUGCCAACCCGCGAGGGGGAGCAAAUCGCAUCAAAGCCGGUCCCAGUUCGGAUAAGAGGCUGAAACUCGCCUCUUGAAGCCGGAAUCGCUAGUAAUCGU